rnacentral:rRNA from 1 species
UACGGAGGAUGCGAGCGUUAUCCGGAAUUACUGGGUGUAAAGGGAGCGUAGACGGUAAUGUAAGUCUGGAGUGAAAGGCGGGGGCCCAACCCCCGGACUGCUCUGGAAACUAUGUUACUAGAGUGCAGGAGAGGUAAGCGGAAUUCCUAGUGUAGCGGUGAAAUGCGUAGAUAUUAGGAGGAACACCAGUGGCGAAGGCGGCUUACUGGCCUGUAACUGACACUGAGGCUCGAAAGCGUGGGGAGCAAACAGG